GUCCCAAGGGUAUGGCUGUUCGCCAUUUAAAGUGGUACGCGAGCUGGGUUUAGAACGUCGUGAGACAGUUCGGUCCCUAUCUGCCGUGGGCGCUGGAGAACUGAGGGGGGCUGCUCCUAGUACGAGAGGACCGGAGUGGACGCAUCACUGGUGUUCGGGUUGUCAUGCCAAUGGCACUGCCCGGUAGCUAAAUGCGGAAGAGAUAAGUGCUGAAAGCAUCUAAGCACGAAACUUGCCCCGAGAUGAGUUCUCCCUGAGACUUAGAGUCUCCUGAAGGAACGUUGAAGACGACGACGUUGAUAGGCCGGGUGUGUAAGCGCAGCGAUGCGUUGAGCUAACCGGUACUAAUGAACCGUGAGGCUUAACCUUACAACGCCGAAG
rnacentral:rRNA from 3 species